rnacentral:tRNA from 1 species
CGUGAGGUAGAGUAGUUGGUUAGCUCAGUGGACUCAUAAUCCACAGGUCGCAGGUUCGAGUCCUGCCCUCGCUA